CGGCACGGGCGAGUAACACGUAUCCAACCUGCCGUCUACUCUUGGACAGCCUUCUGAAAGGAAGAUUAAUACAAGAUGGCAUCAUGAGUUCACAUGUUCACAUGAUUAAAGGUAUUCCGGUAGACGAUGGGGAUGCGUUCCAUUAGAUAGUAGGCGGGGUAACGGCCCACCUAGUCUUCGAUGGAUAGGGGUUCUGAGAGGAAGGUCCCCCACAUUGGAACUGAGACACGGUCCAA
rnacentral:rRNA from 1 species